GUGGGGAAUAUUGGACAAUGGGCGAAAGCCUGAUCCAGCCAUGCCGCGUGUGUGAAGAAGGUCUUCGGAUUGUAAAGCACUUUAAGUUGGGAGGAAGGGCAGUAAGUUAAUACCUUGCUGUUUUGACGUUACCAACAGAAUAAGCACCGGCUAACUUCGUGCCAGCAGCCGCGGUAAUACGAAGGGUGCAAGCGUUAAUCGGAAUUACUGGGCGUAAAGCGCGCGUAGGUGGUUCAGCAAGUUGGAGGUGAAAUCCCCGGGCUCAACCUGGGAACUGCCUCCAAAACUACUGAGCUAGAGUACGGUAGAGGGUAGUGGAAUUUCCUGUGUAGCGGUGAAAUGCGUAGAUAUAGGAAGGAACACCAGUGGCGAAGGCGACUACCUGGACUGAUACUGACACUGAGGUGCGAAAGCGUGGGGAGCAAACAGGAUUAGAUACCCCAGUAGUCC
rnacentral:rRNA from 1 species